CACGGAGAGUGAAUGCUAGCAGCGCCAGACCCGCUCAGGUCGGGUUUCUCCGGGAUCGCACUACGUCUGCGGGCUGAUUUGUCUGCCCGAGGUAUUGUUCUGUAUCGCUGCAUCGGAGCCAUAAGAGAGCGGGCCAUGAGGACUUUUCCCAAAAACAGAAGCUGCGAAGUUUACAGCGUCUCUGGUUUAGGAGCCUGCGCCCCCGCCGGUGCACCUGCACAGGAGGACUUUGUGACGAAACCCACCCAGACGUCAAGUUCAUCUAGCAGCGAGUCUGAUAUCAAGAGCCCGGUGGGCAAGAGAGCGGAUUGCGGGGCAUGGAGUAAGUGGGCGCUGAGAGCCUCCCCCUUCCUCCCUCUCUCGGCUGCCAUUGCACUGACUCUCCAUUUCCUUGCAUCCUCUCCAUCGCUCUCAGUGUUUUACCUUGGAGGAAGCAUCGAGUUCUCCAACCUCAGCUUCUCUCCAGACCUGGCAGACCCGUCGUCUACACAGUUCCGCCUCCAGUCUCAGGCGCUAAGCCAUUACUUCUCAGAGUUGUAUGAUUCUUCACCAUGGAGCUCGUAUUACCAGCACUCAGGAAUUAUUGCAUUUAGUGAAGGAGUGGAAGGACUUUGUGUGUACUACUGGAGUAAAUUCUCUGCUCCUCCCGCUAUUGCUGAGGAACUCCGGAGAGUGAACCCAUCCCGGUUGCAACGGCGUCUACCUGGAACCAACAAGGUCCUUUUUAGCAGAAACGAGGAACGCUACUACAUGGAGAGGGACGAGGACACACUGCGUCUGCU
rnacentral:lncRNA from 1 species